AUGCAUGCACCCUUCUGUUGUGGCUGGGCUGUGAUAGGGCUGUGCUCUGGUGUGGCUGGCUGUGAGGCCCCGCCACAACUGCUACAGACAGAUACACUGGUCAGUGGGCCCGGUUCCCCAGCCUUUUGGGUAAAAGGCCCAGCUGUGACUGCUGUGGGCAUGCUGGUGGUGGGGUGGGCCUACACUGCAGCUGGCCACAAGGAAGAAAAUAAAAAAAUCUAUUAUUUAGAGUACGCUCAGAUCUCCGUGGAGAUGGACGUGUCCUCCAAGCCCGACCUCUCCGCCGCCCUCAAGGACAUCCGUGCUCAGUACGAGAAGCUGGCUGCCAAGAACAUGCAGAACGCCGAAGAGUGGUUCAAGGAACGAAGCGCUGGAGAAGCAGCUGCAGGAGCUGGAGGAUAAGCAGAACGCCGAUAUUAGUGCUAUGCAGGACACAAUCAACAAAUUAGAAAAUGAAUUGAGAACCACGAAGAGUGAAAUGGCACGAUACCUUAAAGAAUACCAAGACCUCCUCAAUGUGAAGAUGGCUUUGGACAUUGAGAUUGCAGCUUCCAGGAAACUCUUGGAAGGUGAGGAGACCCGACUCAGUUUCACCAGCGUCGGAAGCAUAGCCAGCGGCUACUCCCAGAGAUCUCAGGUCUUUGGCCGAUCUGCCUAUGGCGGGUUACAGACCAGCUCCUACUUGAUGUCUGCCCGCUCCUUCCCGUCUUACUACACCAGCCACGUCCAGGAGGAGCAGAUUGAGGUGGAGGAGACCAUUGAGGCUGCAAAGGCCGAGGAAGCCAAGGACGAACCCGCCUCUGAAGGAGAAGCCGAGGAGGAGGAGAAGGAGGAGAAGGAGAAAGAAGAGGCUGCUGAAGAGGAAGGAGCCAGAGAGGAAGAAGCUGCCAAGGAAGAAUCUGAGGAGGCAAAGGAGGAAGAGGAAGGAGGUGAAGGUGAAGAAGGAGAAGAAACCAAAGAAGCCGAGGAGGAGGAGGAGAAAAAAGACGAAGGUGCUGGGGAGGAGCAAGCAACUAAAAAGAAAGAUUGAGCCCCUCUGUCCUUAAUCCUUCCAGGAGGAAUUCUCCCGAAAUCAGGUCAACCCCAUCACCAACCAACCAGUUGAGUUCCAGAUACUAUAUGAAUUAAGAAGUUCAAUAUAUGUAUAAUUCAGAGAUGACUUAGGUUGGACAUUCAAUGUUGUGCUAUGACUUUUCUCCUUAUGCAGAGUAUCUGUUUGCUUGCAGAGUGGCUUCCUGGCUUGCUGCCAGCUUGUGCAUGGUCCACGCUUACAAGUUCAGGAUCUAUGGCAAUGUGAAUAAUUCAGAUGUUUACAAUUAAAAAAAAACACAUGAAUAAAUGAAUUCACUGAUGUCAAUGUUAAACUUCAUGGUAAAAAUAGUCCUUUGAACCUUUGGUGGUUAGAAAUUAAAGACCUCGAAUCAUGUGCAAUACAUAGUAAAUAAAGUUACACUGAAUGACAAAAAAAAAAUCUAUUAU